rnacentral:rRNA from 1 species
GCGCAUACAGAGGGCAGCAAGCUAGCGAUAGUGAGCGAAUCCCAAAAAGUGCGUCGUAGUCCGGAUUGGAGUCUGCAACUCGACUCCAUGAAGUCGGAAUCGCUAGUAAUCGUGAAUCAGAAUGUCACGGUGAAUACGUUCCCGGGCCUUGUACACACCGCCCGUCACACCAUGGGAGUGGGCUGCAAAAGAAGUGGGUAGUUUAACCUUUCGGGGAGGACGCUCACCACUUUGUGGUUCAUGACUGGGGUGAAGUCGUAACAAGGUAGCCCUAGGGGAACCUGGGGCUGGAUCACCUCCUUA